rnacentral:rRNA from 1 species
ACACGUGGUAUCCUGUCUGAAUAUGGGGGGACCAUCCUCCAAGGCUAAAUACUCCUGACUGACCGAUAGUGAACCAGUACCGUGAGGGAAAGGCGAAAAGAACCCCGGCGAGGGGAGUGAAAAAGAACCUGAAACCGUGUACGUACAAGCAGUGGGAGCCCCACCACCAAAGCAUUUGCUGUACCGCGUUGACGGAGCGAAGCGACGUCAAACCGAUAAAACAGCAGUGUAAAGUGAGCCGCAGGGCGCUUUGCGCGACAGCGCAAAGGCAGGCGGUUUCGCGUAGCGAAAGCGAAUGCUUUGGGGUGGGGUGACUGCGUACCUUUUGUAUAAUGGGUCAGCGACUUAUAUUCUGUAGCAAGGUUAACCGAAUAGGGGAGCCGGAGGGAAACCGAGUCUUAAUUGGGCGUUAAGUUGCAGGGUAUAGACCCGAAACCCGGUGAUCUAGCCAUGGGCAGGUUGAAGGUUGGGUAACACUAACUGGAGGACCGAACCGACUAAUGUUGAAAAAUUAGCGGAUGACCUGUGGCUGGGGGUGAAAGGCCAAUCAAACCGGGAGAUAGCUGGUUCUCCCCGAAAGCUAUUUAGGUAGCGCCUCGUGAAUUCAUCUCCGGGGGUAGAGCACUGUUUCGGCUAGGGGGCCAUCCCGGCUUACCAACCCGAUGCAAACUGCGAAUACCGGAGAAUGUUAUCACGGGAGACACACGGCGGGUGCUAACGUCCGUCGUGAAGAGGGAAACAACCCAGACCGCCAGCUAAGGUCCCAAAGUCAUGGUUAAGUGGGAAACGAUGUGGGAAGGCCCAGACAGCCAGGAUGUUGGCUUAGAAGCAGCCAUCAUUUAAAGAAAGCGUAAUAGCUCACUGGUCGAGUCGGCCUGCGCGGAAGAUGUAACGGGGCUAAACCAUGCACCGAAGCUGCGGCAGCGACACUGUGUGUUGUUGGGUAGGGGAGCGUUCUGUAAGCCUGUGAAGGUGUGUCGUGAGGCAUGCUGGAGGUAUCAGAAGUGCGAAUGCUGACAUAAGUAACGAUAAAGCGGGUGAAAAGCCCGCUCGCCGGAAGACCAAGGGUUCCUGUCCAACGUUAAUCGGGGCAGGGUGAGUCGACCCCUAAGGCGAGGCCGAAAGGCGUAGUCGAUGGGAAACGGGUUAAUAUUCCCGUACUUGGUGUUACUGCGAAGGGGGGACGGAGAAGGCUAUGUUGGCCGGGCGACGGUUGUCCCGGUUUAAGCGUGUAGGUGUGUGUUCCAGGUAAAUCCGGUUCACUUUAACACUGAGGCGUGACGACGAGGCACUACGGUGCUGAAGCAACAAAUGCCCUGCUUCCAGGAAAAGCCUCUAAGCAUCAGGUAACAUCAAAUCGUACCCCAAACCGACACAGGUGGUCAGGUAGAGAAUACCAAGGCGCUUGAGAGAACUCGGGUGAAGGAACUAGGCAAAAUGGUGCCGUAACUUCGGGAGAAGGCACGCUGACACGUAGGUGAAGUGAUUUACUCAUGGAGCUGAAGUCAGUCGAAGAUACCAGCUGGCUGCAACUGUUUAUUAAAAACACAGCACUGUGCAAACACGAAAGUGGACGUAUACGGUGUGACGCCUGCCCGGUGCCGGAAGGUUAAUUGAUGGGGUCAGCGCAAGCGAAGCUCCUGAUCGAAGCCCCGGUAAACGGCGGCCGUAACUAUAACGGUCCUAAGGUAGCGAAAUUCCUUGUCGGGUAAGUUCCGACCUGCACGAAUGGCGUAAUGAUGGCCAGGCUGUCUCCACCCGAGACUCAGUGAAAUUGAACUCGCUGUGAAGAUGCAGUGUACCCGCGGCAAGACGGAAAGACCCCGUGAACCUUUACUAUAGCUUGACACUGAACAUUGAGCCUUGAUGUGUAGGAUAGGUGGGAGGCUUUGAAGUGUGGACGCCAGUCUGCAUGGAGCCGACCUUGAAAUACCACCCUUUAAUGUUUGAUGUUCUAACGUGGACCCGUUACCCGGGUUGCGGACAGUGUCUGGUGGGUAGUUUGACUGGGGCGGUCUCCUCCUAAAGAGUAACGGAGGAGCACGAAGGUUGG